rnacentral:rRNA from 1 species
UAUGUGAUCGUCUCUCGCAUAUCAAUAAGCGGAGGAAAAGAAACUAACAAGGAUUCCCCUAGUAACGGCGAGUGAAGCGGGAAGAGCUCAAAUUUGAAAUCUUAAAGGGUUUCCCUUUACGAAUUGUAGUUUAAAGAAGUGUUUUCUGUUGAGGUUUUGGUAAAAGUUCUUUGGAAUAGGACAUCAUAGAGGGUGAGAAUCCCGUAUUUGACCUUUACUUCCAACUUUGUGAUACACUUUCAAAGAGUCGGAUUGUUUGGGAAUGCAGUCCAAAAUGGGUGGUAAAUUUCAUCUAAAGCUAAAUAUUGGCGAGAGACCGAUAGCGAACAAGUACCGUGAGGGAAAGAUGAAAAGAACUUUGAAAAGAGAGUUAAACAGUACGUGAAAUUGUCAAAAGGGAAGCAUUUGACACCAGUGUUGUUUUUCUGAAAAUCAAUUAAAGAACUGUUUAUGCUAAGUUGUUUAGACUUUAUCAGCUAACUGUUUAGUUUUGAGCUUUUCUUUAAUGCACUUUUCAGUUAACAAGUCAACAUCAAUUUCUUUUGCUGUAAAAAAGCUUGAGGAAGGUGGCUUGAGAUUCGUCUUAAGUGUUUAUAGCCUCUUGCCUAUGCAGUCGGAGAGAUUGAGGUCUGCAGCGUAGAUCCUUCGGGGCUAAAUGCAUUUGUGCUAAGUUAUAGCAUUUUAUAGGACAGCUUGUUGACUAUGAUUUGUCUUGUAGCUUACUCGCUUAUGUUAUUUUACCUACGCUUAGGAUGUUGAUCUACAGAGCGAGAGU